CUGGCGGGCCUUUUCGUGCCAAGUCGGAGCGCCUGUAGCAUACAGGAGCGGCAGACGGGAGAGUAACACGUGGGAACAUGCCCUUCAGUUCGGAACAACCAAGGGAAACUUUGGCUAAUACCGGAUACGCCCUUACGGGGAAAGAUUUAUCGCUGAAGGAUUGGCCCGCGUCUGAUUAGCUAGUUGGUGGGGUAAGAGCCUACCAAGGCGACGAUCGGUAGCUGGUCUGAGAGGAUGAUCAGCCACACUGGGACUGAGACACGGCCCAGACUCCUACGGGAGGCAGCAGUGGGGAAUUUUCCGCAAUGGGCGAAAGCCUGACGGAGCAAGACCGCGUGAGGGAAGAAGGUCUGUGGAUUGUAAACCUCUUUUGAUGGGGAAGAAGUUCUGACGGUACCCAUCGAAUCAGCCUCGGCUAACUCCGUGCCAGCAGCCGCGGU
rnacentral:rRNA from 1 species